GGAAUCUUCGGCAAUGGGGGCAACCCUGACCGAGCAACGCCGCGUGAGUGAAGAAGGUUUUCGGAUCGUAAAGCUCUGUUGUAAGAGAAGAACGUGUGUGAGAGUGGAAAGUUCACACAGUGACGGUAACUUACCAGAAAGGGACGGCUAACUACGUGCCAGCAGCCGCGGUAAUACGUAGGUCCCGAGCGUUGUCCGGAUUUAUUGGGCGUAAAGCGAGCGCAGGCGGUUUAAUAAGUCUGAAGUUAAAGGCAGUGGCUUAACCAAAGAAGUGCAUCGGAAACUGUCAGACUUGAGUGCAGAAGAGGACAGUGGAACUCCAUGUGUAGCGGUGGAAUGCGUAGAUAUAUGGAAGAACACCAGUGGCGAAGGCGGCUGUCUGGUCUGCAACUGACGCUGAGGCUCGAAAGCAUGGGUAGCGAACA
rnacentral:rRNA from 1 species